rnacentral:lncRNA from 1 species
CAGGGCCGUAACUAGGGUUCGAAUGCAGGGGAGGCAGGGUUUGGGGGCCCGGCGCCGAUUUUUUUCUCUCAGUAAAAUGUCUAAAAAUGACCCGUUUUUCUUCGAUUUCCUUACUUAAAGAAACAUCAGUAUUGCUUGAACCUGGAAGCAAUUUUUAUGCAAAAAACAAGCUGAGAUUGCUGUUCGGGUGCGCCAAGGCUCCGUCUUGAAUGCCGUACUUUGACCUAUAAUUAUUAACCGUGACUAAAUACAUUGAAAACGCGUAUUUUUUUCUCAACAUGGCUAUAAGUAACCCGUUUUCCUUCGUUUUCCUUACGUUAAGAAACAUCAGUAUUGCUGGAUCCUGGAAGCAAUUUUUAUGAAAACAUUUAUUAUCUGUAUUUAAAGAUUUUUUUGUUAGAAAUCAAACUGGUAAGUUAAAAAAAUAAAUAAAGCAAGAUCAGAGAUCGCAA